GACGGAGCUCUCUCUCGGUGGGCGCGCGCUUCAGCGAGGAUCUCCCUUUCGGGGAAAGAAAAAAAAAAAAAAAAAACGACACACCGCGAGACAAUUUUGGAUUUACACCGAGGACGGAGAGCGCUCUUUAUUACCAAAAGGAUUGAUUUUUUUUGUUUGUUUGUUUGUUUUUUACUGUUGUUGUUGAUGUUUAGAGCACGUUGACGGCGCGUGCACUAUGCAGCGAAGAUAAAGGAGAUGAUUUCUGGAACGCGAUGAUCGACUCGAUCGCGUUUCGGGGAUCUCGACUGUGCGCCAGUGACCCCGUGUGCGGUCCGAUCAUCCAUGGGAAGCAGUGAAAGCGCGCGAGAGCGGAGAUGAGAGCCGCGCUCUGCUGCCUCCUCGCGUGCUGCUGCUGCUGCUUCUCCGUGCCGCACGCCGCCGCCGCCGCCGCAACCCGGGAGGCGUCAAUUCCCCGAGAGCUAAUCGAGAGACUGUCCAACAGCGAGAUCCGCACCAUGAGUGACCUUCAGCGGCUUCUGGAGUUACACUCUGCAGAGAACGAGGUGGUUCGGGAGACUAAAUGGCGCUACAGCAAAGAACAUCUCGACCACAACGCCAACCUCAAGGGCUCGUACACACGCCCAAGACACAAGAGGAGUAUUGAGGAAGCAGUUCCAGCCGCAUGCAAGACGCGAACGGAGGUGUACGAGAUCCCACGCUCUCAGGUGGACCCUACAGCAGCAAACUUCCUUAUAUGGCCACCAUGCGUGGAGGUGACACGGUGCUCGGGCUGCUGCAACACCAGUACCAUGCGCUGCCAUGCGAUCAAAAAACACCACCGGAAUGUCAAGGUGGCUAAGAUCGAGUAUGUGCGUCGCAAACCCAAGCUGCGGGAGGUGCAGGUGCAGCUGGAGGAUCAUUUGGAGUGUGUGUGCGUGUCUAAACACCACACAGAGUCCCGCUUACACACAGGCCACUCUCGAGAGAGAGCUAAAACGAGGACAAGGAUAAAGGAAAGGUCAGGGGAAAAAAUCUGAAAAAAGCGUACACGCUCGGUUGGUAAUCUGAGUGAGUCUACAGGUAGGAGAUGUACGGUGAACCUGACUGGAUCAACUUGGAGAGUGUGUGGCAGCCCUGAGCAAACAAUCACCGCAAUCCACACACCUGGCCUGGAUUAAGCUAACCGGACCGUUGUGGAGCGUUCAGACUUUUGGACUGGAUGUCUCUUGGACUUUUUAAAUUUGAAGACAAAAAGACACAAAGGAAAUGAAUAAAAGGACGGAUUGUUCAUUAAGACUAUAAAGAACGUUAAUGUUCCUUGCCUUUUCAGCACGGAGUCUGAAUUCUCAUAACGCUGCUUGGAGCUUGGAUCUACCAUAUAAUGGACAGACACAAUUAUUCACCUUUAUAGCAAGAUUCCUUUCUUCCAGCAAACACUUUUUUUUCAGUAUACACUCUUAUUUUUGUAGCCCCAUUUUCUAUUGAGACUCAUAUCCUAUAUGUACAGUAGAAAAAACAGCCUUCAAUAGCCUUUAAUAAACUAUUUAUAAGUGCA